rnacentral:lncRNA from 1 species
AUUCUAAGCCAAGUUCGCAGAUUUGGUACUCCCACUGAAUUACUGCAUAAUGGAAGACGAUCAAAGAACAGGAGUUUCGUAGAGACGGAGAGGUGAACAAAGUCAAGAUAAGAAACUAACUAGGCGACUAUUAUAAUAUUAGAAACCAACUAUUAGAAUAUGUAAACAAAGUCACAUGCUCUGAUACCAUAUUAGAAUAUAGAUCAAUAGUUUUUAGUGGAUCUCAAUCAAUCCUUUUCUGAUAUCUUCUCUUUUUAAUUAUAGAUUAAUAUCAUACCAUUACACAACCAUGACCAGUUGUUAGUUUCCCUACAAAUUGUGGGAGGGAUAAGGCAGUCUUGCUUGACACAUCUGGUCUGAAAAGAAUAGAGGGCUCAAGUACCACACUCUAAGGCCUCUAAAACAUACUUCAGAAAGCGAUGAAGUGGUCAAAAUCACCGCUAAACAGCUAUAUCGGUAUAGCUGACGCCUGACGAUAUAGUGGUUUACUAUUUUUUUCAAUAUACUGUUGUAAUUUGUAUAAUCUAAAUAUUCCUUUCAUGUUUCAAAUAUAACAAACAACGACAAAGUAUCUAGAGCAAACACAAUAAUCAAAGUUACCAGGAGUAAAUUUGAGGUUUGCCGGAAGCCACUGUAAUCCACCGGAAGCUGCUUGAACAUCGCCGGAUAGACCAAAAUUUAGAAGAAAACAGUGUUACGACUCGUAAGAGAUUACAAGUCUCGCCGGAAUCUCCUCUUUAAUAUAUGAAAUAAACUUGGAAAGAAACACCUUGAAAGAAGAUUGCCGGAUUCUGGAACUUGGAAGAAAGUGGAGAAGAAACGAUGGCUACAAGAAAAUACUAACGGGCAGAAAUAAAGCCCAAUAAGCUUUCUUAAGCUGGCAUUCAGAUCCGGCUACCGCUAUGCCCUCUUCCAGCGCUAUAAAACAUUAAAACCUCUAUUUGGAUGUAUGCUCUAAAAGUUCUACUCAAUGCAAGUGUGGGAGAUUAACCUUCUAAGGCAGUGCAUUUAGUUAUUCUAUCACUAAAUUCCAUAGCUAUACAGGAAAGUGUCGAUGAGUAUUUUCGCAUCUUAAAAAAUUUCUUUUUAUGUAUCUCCAUUCUCCCAUCAUGUAUACUAGUUUGGGGCCAGAAGAAAAAAACUGUCAAAAUAUUGACUGAUUGUGCUAGUACUGACU